GAUUGCAGACAUCCGAUAAGAUUGGAACGAUACCGCGAAGAUUAGCAUGGCCCCUACGCAAGGAUGACUGACACGCACAAAGCGAGAAAUAGUCCAAAUUUUU
rnacentral:snRNA from 1 species